GGGGAAUAUUGCACAAUGGGCGAAAGCCUGAUGCAGCAACGCUGCGUGAGUGAUGAAGGUCUUCGGAUUGUAAAGCUCUGUCUUUUGGGACGAUAAUGACGGUACCAAAGGAGGAAGCCACGGCUAACUACGUGCCAGCAGCCGCGGUAAUACGUAGGUGGCGAGCGUUGUCCGGAUUUACUGGGCGUAAAGGGUGCGUAGGCGGAUGUUUAAGUGAGAUGUGAAAUACCCGGGCUUAACUUGGGUGCUGCAUUUCAAACUGGAUAUCUAGAGUGCAGGAGAGGAGAAUGGAAUUCCUAGUGUAGCGGUGAAAUGCGUAGAGAUUAGGAAGAACACCAGUGGCGAAGGCGAUUCUCUGGACUGUAACUGACGCUGAGGCACGAAAGCGUGGGUAGCAAACAGGAUUAGAUACCC
rnacentral:rRNA from 1 species